UCUGAUUCGCAUGGUUUGUCGUCGUCACAGUACUUUUGGUUUAUUAUUAUAGGGUUGUCCACAUCAUGCAUUUCAAUGUUCUGGAAUUUGAUGUUGCUUGCGCUUCCAGACCCUCCCUGCAACAAAAUUCUUGUGUUAAUAUUUGACUGAUCGAAAGCUUAAGUUAUUAAGUAAUAAAUGUAAUAAGUCAAUAACGCAUAUUAAAUUAACUUAUACUAAAGCUUCUUCAUAAUAUCCGACUCAUACAAACAUAUGUAUGCAUGUUUCUUCUUACCUGCCAUGUCUUGAUUCUAACUCCAUUUGUGGUUCCCGAAAGGGUUGCCCCGUUCACUGUAAUAUCUGAAACGUGAGCCUCUGAGUUUCCAGAUCCUAAGCUUCCAAUACUGAGGAGUUGGCCAUGGAACAAAGACAAAAUUCAAAAGAAAUACGUAUAUGUUAGUGUUGAUUAAUGAGUCAUAUAUAGAAAUUAAGAUUAAUUUAGCAAUAUUAAUGUUGGGGUUACUGGGUUAAUUACCUGAUUCCAUGGCCUGGUCCACAGGUGAUACCAGUGGCUUGCAAGUUCUGGGUUCCACUCACAAUUGAAAUACAGUCGUCACCUUCAACAAUCAAACAAAAUUUGUCAUUGAUUCAGCAUGGUUACAACUAUUUUUAAAAAAAAUAUUUUUAGUUUUGUUUUUAGGCAAAUUUUGAGGAUACCUGUUCCUAUAACUGAGCUUGAAAUCUGGAUAUUUUGGGUGUCAGUCACAUGGAUUCCAUCAGUGUUGGGGCUGUCCCCUGGUGCAGUUACAGUGAGACCCGAAGCUUGAACACCCACGCAUUUUUCAAAAGAAACAUGCAUUUGCUGGGCAUUUUGGAUCUUGAGGUUCUUCACUACCAAGUUCUUGCAGUUAUAGAAGGUUAAGGCCUGCCAAAACAUAAUUCCAAACAAGAAAUUAUAUGUCUUCCAUUUUCAUAUAAACAUCAUAGAAGAAGUUUGCACUCAUAUGAGAGGAUGUAUCAACGUACCGUUGGUGCAUCCUUGCAAGGCUGCGGGAAUUUAAAGGGAAAAAAAAAAUUCAGCCAAUGAUCAUUAAAAGAUAAUCAAAAGAAAAAAAAAAGGGAAAAAGAGACAGAGACAGAGAGUCAUGAGUGGCAUAAUUACAAGAUCAUCGUUCACUUUGCAAGAGUUCUCCCACCAUGUCUUCCCAUUUCCAUUGAUGGUUCCACCACCUUGAACCGCUAAGUUUUGGACAUUUUCAAAGACAAGCCACCGGGUCAUAUCGUUACUGUAGGCGGAUCGAUCAGCAGAUGCCUGGACAGUUCCAUAUAUCUGGUUUUUUUUUUCCCCCAAAAAUAUCAUUAGUCAUUUUAUACGAUAUACAUUAAUUAGAAGCAGCUGCUUGAAGGUCUGAAGAAAAUGACUCCUGUGAUGGAAUCUCACCUGCACUGUAAUACUGGAUUUGCAAGGACCUUCAAAUGUAAUUGGCUUAAGGAGAUAGUUCUUGUUUUUGGGCACCACUAGGACAGAUCCUUGAGAUGAACAAGCUGCCUCCCAAGCUUUCUUGAAUGCCUGAAAGACCCAACAUUGGUUAUAUAUAUAUUACUUCGCAUGACAGAACCAAUGAAAAUAAGACUGAAUCCAACAAGCCCUAAUAAUUUUAAUAUGUUUGACUCAUAGCAUAGUUUGUCUUCAUUGGAUGUGAAGUUCUUCAAUAGUAAUUAGCCAUCAUUUUCAUUUAGAUCAAUGAUAUAAAUAGUAAUUACCCAAUCCGCUUCUAGUAUACAAUGACAUACUAUAACUUAUUGUGAUCAAUAUAUCAAAAUGCAAGCUCAGAUCAAACUAUAUAGAACAAUAAUGCAGAGAUCAUGGAAAUGAGGACAUUCUUAUAAGGUUAAUAAGUCAAUACACAUAUUGACGUCUCUAGCUAUAUCCAUACCUCUGUGGCAUCACUUCCAUCACCUUUAGCUUCAUAAUCAUUCACGCUAACCGUUUUAACUGAAGCCAAAGAUCUACCCACUUUACAAAUCCUCUUAGAGCCCAUGAUUUUACUUCCAAAUUUGCGCCAUGGCCAGCUCUCAUACGCCCGGGAAGAAUCAUAGCCAUAUGCGUCGUCAAGAUAAUCGUAAGGUGGGUUCCCUUGCAAACCGUAGUAGCAUGGGAAAGAAAGCAGAAAGACGAUGAGAAACGGGAUGAAGCGUCUUUGUAGAGACAUUGUUUCUUCUUUGGUAAAGGGGAGAGAAAAUAUUCUGAAAGAUAUUAUUUUGAGGCUAAGAUUGGAAUGAUGAUGAGAGGAAUGGAGGUGAUGAAAAUAUGAAGUGCUGAGGUAAUGUAUUUAUAGAGAAUCAUCAGGGGUUUUGGGUCUACCGUCCAUCACACAAUGCCCCUUGAGGUAUGGAUUGGGAAUCAUUUGGGAUACGCAAGAGUACUGCUACCAGAAUGAACUCCUGGACACCAUGGCUGACUUUGAUGCAUUCAUGCAUCAGUCCAUAUUUAUUUUUUAUUAAUAUCUAAUCUGUAUAGCAUGUCGUGCAUAUUUGCGGUUAUACAUUUUGAAUAAAUUCAACUACAUAAAUUUUGCAACUUAUAAUGAGAAAAACUCAUUAACACUUAGAUCAACGAGCCUCAUCACGUAAAGAAGGCAAAUAUUGAGGGCCACUUUUUCAUAUACAUGUACAUGUAACAUGCAUAUAUGCAUCAUCUAGCCUAUUUUGUACGUCCAUUAAUUAUCAUCAGAUUAUUCCAAAUGAUUAUCCUAGAUUAUGGCAGCUGGCUAAAAUAGGUCACAUAAAAAUUGGUAUUUAUCCUUUGACUCUAUAUAUCGAAUGAUGCACACAUGAAAGAUAUGUAAAUGCACCAAACGAUCCAAACAUAUGAUCAUGAUGUCACAGAGAUGAAGUAUGGCAAGCUAGUGACCUCCCCUUUCCUUCACAUGUUGCCAAAUUCCACACUUGACACAACCCGAUUCGCCCGGAAACAAUCUGCCCCGCACUUUCAGAAGCGUGUGGGGGUUUUCAUGGAAUUCAUGCAUAAAAAAUAUUGAGUUGCCGUAAUCUAUUUUGAGGGAUAAAAAGGGUGGGCAUGGGAUUUGAGUAGAGGUGUUUGUUGAGUUCCUACGUGGUAAUCUCUCUUCCUUAAUGAAUAUAAGACGUUAGAGCACUUCACAUGCUGAUGGAAUUUGAACCUUUUCACAAGAUGGCAUUGUCUCAUGAUUCCCAAAAUUAACAAGCAAUCAAACUGAGAAAAACUUGAGCUUUAGGCUUGUAAUAUGGUGUCGCCACGUGUACACCCCGUGACAAAUCAUAGAUCACGUUCUGCCAACCAUUUGCCAGUUCGUUGAUACAUAAUAGUAGAGAGGCGUGGUUUGAAAAAUGGGGGUUGGAUUACACAUGCAAGGUGGUAUGGGCUGAAGAAUAUGAGUUCAUUAGAUAACAGCUUAUCAUGUAUUUUGACAACCCAGUUUGAAAAAGGCCAUCAAUCAUCAUCAAUCAUUAUGGGCUCGUGUAUCUUUUUUUAAUGGGUAAUGCGUUAGCUAGGAUUAUGAAAUGGGAAGUCGACCUCAUAGAAGGGUUAGCGCAGUUGUAAAGAAGUUUGAGCCAACUGUUUUGGAAAGUUGCUUUCAAUGGAAGGUACACAGGAACUUUAUACCAAAUUCCAUCAAAUGGCUGAUUCAGAAUGGAAGAGUGGAAACUUGAAUCAAAGGGUGUAAUAUUAAUUAGAUCAUUUUCUUCAAACCAAGCAAAAAGUUCGGCCAAGCACAUGAGCCUAACCGUUGCCAAUUUCAACACUGCAAGUUAAUUUGUGACUACUCCAUUUCAGCUCUUUCCUUCUUUUUGCUUUUUUCUCAUUUUGUUCACUUUGGUGUAAAACGCAUUUUUUAUUUUAUUUUAUUCAUUUGGGUGUGAAGCUGAGAAAAAAUAGAGUAAGAUGAUGGAGUUGCCUGCUUGAAACGAUUAUAAUAUAAUAUUAUUGUUUAAGAUUACGUAUGAUUCUCGAAAAGUAUUAAGAGAAGAAUAAAAUUAUUAAAAAAAAAUACGUUAGCUAAGAUUAUUAAAUGGGAAGUCGACCUCAUAGAAAGGUUAGCGCAGUUGUAAAGAAGUUUGAGCCAACUGUUUGGAAAGGGCCUCAUUUGAAGAAUUUGUUCUUUUAAUGUUCGAGUACAACACAUGUUGCACUUGAACCGCCCAGCUCUACAUCAUUUGUAUUAGGGAAAUCAUGAACAACAAAUUGAAGGUUAAUGAUAUUGGUUUUGUUUGUCAAGAUAUGGGUUGAACUUUUGAGUUUCCAUACCUAUGAUUUGUGUUCAAUUGGUUUCCAUAGUUUUGUGAUGAAAACAAUAUUUAUAUGGGCAUUCGCGUUUUAUUUUAUUUUUGGGUUAUUUUAAUUUUCAAUCCCAAUCCAUUUUUAUGUGAUAAUGGCGUGGUUUGCUGAUAUGACAUUAGACGACUCAGCGUGAAGUUGGGCCUUGAAGCCCGAUUAUCUAGUGGGUGGGCCUUGAAGCCCAAAAGUAACCUAGUUCUAAUGGCCUUUGGGGCUGAACUUCGGAUAUGGGCCAAUUUCAUGUUGCAUGCAUUUUUUAAAAAUAAAUAUAUUUUUAUUAUUUUGAGGAAAUACUAGAUAGCAUGGUAUUGAAUCAAGGGAGAAAAACUCUAAAUUUUCAGAAAAAUGAAAAGAAUUAGUAAAUACUAAGAUGAAAUUAACAACAAAUAAAAGGUCAUUUUAUUGAUGAUAAACAAUAAGAGAACAUCAACUCCAUUGUCUUAUUCUAUAGUAAGCAAAUUAAUAUCACAUACUCACUAUUACUUUUAAAUAAUUAGUAUAUAUCUAUAAACACUGAUAAGUGUGUGAUCAGAACCAAUAACCCUAGCUUCCACGCAAUUCUCAAGUGCAACUUGGAGACACAUCUCCUUUUUCAGUCACUUUGGCAUCGUUGCACACAGCUGUGGCUGCUUUUCCUCCUCCAGUUUCUAUAUCAAUGUCUUGCAGCACAAUCCCCUGACAUGGAAACUUGCUGCUACAAUCAAGUUGUAUAGCCUCACUUGAAGAACUUGUUCCUUUGAUGUUCUGGUACAACACAUUUUGCACUUGAACCGCCUGGCUCUGCAACAAAACCAUUUGUAUUAGGGAAAUCAUGAACAAUUAAUUGAGGGUUGAUGAUAUUGGUUUUGUUUGUGAAGAUCCAGGGUUGAGGUUUGAGUUUCCAUACCUCUGAUUCGCAUGGUUUGUCGUCGUCACAGUACUUUUGGUUUAUUAUUAUAGGGUUGUCCACAUCAUGCAUUUCAAUGUUCUGGAAUUUGAUGUUGCUUGCGCUCCCAGACCCUCCCUGCAACAAAAUACUUGAGUUAAUAACCGACACAUCGAAAACUUAAAUUAUUAAGUAAUGAAUGUAAUAAGUCAAUAAUGCAUAUUAAAUUAACUUAUACUAAAGCUUUUUCGUAAUAUCCGACUCAUACAAACAUAUGCAUGCAUGUUUCUUCUUACCGGCCAUGUCUUGAUUCUAACUCCAUUUGUGGUUCCCGAAAGAGUUGCCCCGUUCACUGUAAUAUCUGAAACCAGAGCCUCUGAGUUUCCAUAUCCUAAGCUUCCAAUACUGAGGAGUCGGCCAUGGAACAAAGACAAAAUUCGAAAGAAAUGCAUAUAUGUUAGUGUUAAUUAAUGAGUCAUAUAUAGAAAUUAAGAUUAAUUUAGCAAUAUUAAUGUUGGGGUUAAUGGAUUAAUUACCUGAUUCCAUGGCCUGGUCCACAGGUGAUACCAGUGGCUUGCAAGUUCUGGGUUCCACUCACAAUUGAAAUACAGUCGUCACCUUCAACAAUCAAACAAAAUUUGUCAUUGAUUCAGCAUGGUUACAACUAUUUUAAAAAUAAAAAAAUUUAGUUUUGUUUUUAGGCAAAUUUUGAGGAUACCUGUUCCUAUAACUGAGCUUGAAAUCUGGAUAUUUUGGGUGUCAGUCACAUGGAUUCCAUCAGUGUUGGGGCUGUCCCCUGGUGCAGUUACAGUGAGACCCGAAGCUUGAACACCCACGCAUUUUUCAAACGAAACAUGAAUUUGCUGGGCAUUUUCGAUCUUGAGGUUCUUCACUACCAAGUUCUUGCAGUUAUAGAAGGUUAAGGCCUGCCAAAAUUAAAACAUAAUUCCAAACAAGAAAUUAUACAUCUUCCAUUUUCAUAUAACAUCCUAGAAGAAGACGACUGCACUCAUAUGAGGGGAUAUAU
rnacentral:lncRNA from 1 species